UUUAAGUAUUGUUGUGAGUUUUUUAUUCAGCAUUUGACCGUUCGUCUUAUUUGAAAAAAAAUUUAUGAUUAGUAUUUUUAUUGUUUUUAGAUGAUAAAACAUGAAUAAUAUGUGACGCAUGACUUUUUUUUAUUUUUUUUAUAUUUCUUGUAAAUAAUACGGGUGAUUAAACGUUAGACACGAAACCCACGACUACACUCAAA
rnacentral:pre_miRNA from 1 species